rnacentral:rRNA from 1 species
CCUACGGGUGGCAGCAGUGAGGAAUAUUGGUCAAUGGACGAGAGUCUGAACCAGCCAAGUAGCGUGAAGGAUGACUGCCCUAUGGGUUGUAAACUUCUUUUAUAUGGGAAUAAAAUGUUCCACGUGUGGGAUUUUGUAUGUACCAUAUGAAUAAGGAUCGGCUAACUCCGUGCCAGCAGCCGCGGUAAUACGGAGGAUCCGAGCGUUCUCCGGAUUUAUUGGGUUUAAAGGGAGCGUAGGUGGAUUGUUAAGUCAGUUGUGAAAGUUUGCGGCUCAACCGUAAAAUUGCAGUUGAAACUGGCAGUCUUGAGUACAGUAGAGGUGGGCGGAAUGCGUGGUGUAGCGGUGAAAUGCUUAGAUAUCACGAAGAACUCCGAUUGCGAAGGCAGUUCACUGGACUGCAACUGACACUGAGGCUCGAAAGUGUGGGUAUCAAACAGGAUUAGAUACCCUAGUAGUC